rnacentral:rRNA from 1 species
GUACUCAGCGCGGCGUGCCUAAUACAUGCAAGUCGAGCGAACAGAUAAGGAGCUUGCUCCUUUGACGUUAGCGGCGGACGGGUGAGUAACACGUGGAUAACCUACCUAUAAGACUGGGAUAACUUCGGGAAACCGGAGCUAAUACCGGAUAAGAUUUUGAACCGCAUGGUUCAAUAGUGAAAGACGGCCUUGCUGUCACUUAUAGAUGGAUCCGCGCCGUAUUAGCUAGUUGGUAAGGUAACGGCUUACCAAGGCAACGAUACGUAGCCGACCUGAGAGGGUGAUCGGCCACACUGGAACUGAGACACGGUCCAGACUCCUACGGGAGGCAGCAGUAGGGAAUCUUCCGCAAUGGGCGAAAGCCUGACGGAGCAACGCCGCGUGAGUGAUGAAGGUCUUCGGAUCGUAAAACUCUGUUAUCAGGGAAGAACAAACGUGUAAGUAACUGUGCACGUCUUGACGGUACCUGAUCAGAAAGCCACGGCUAACUACGUGCCAGCAGCCGCGGUAAUACGUAGGUGGCAAGCGUUAUCCGGAAUUAUUGGGCGUAAAGCGCGCGUAGGCGGUUUUUUAAGUCUGAUGUGAAAGCCCACGGCUCAACCGUGGAGGGUCAUUGGAAACUGGAAAACUUGAGUGCAGAAGAGGAAAGUGGAAUUCCAUGUGUAGCGGUGAAAUGCGCAGAGAUAUGGAGGAACACCAGUGGCGAAGGCGACUUUCUGGUCUGUAACUGACGCUGAUGUGCGAAAGCGUGGGANCAAAAGGAAUAGAUACCUGGAGUCACGCCGUAACGAUAGUCUA